UUUUUAAAAUGAAUAUGAAAUUUGAUUUAAAUUGCAGAAAAAAUGAUUUGACAUUUUCACCUUUCUUUUUAACAUUUUAAUUUGUAACGUAGAUAGAUUUGGUAAGGUGUGCAAAGACCCAGGGCGCUUCUUCUGAUCAUCGCCACUGCAACACGCAGCAUCGCCAUUCCUCUUCCGUGGGACCCCCUAUCCUUCUGAGCAGAGGCAUUAAUGGCGGCCCUCUCUAUGCCUCCAUGACCCAUGCUCUCCUCUUUCUCCUCCCGCUUCAACUUCUCAUGUCAGCUUUUCCCAUUUCCCCCCUCAAAUUCUUCUCCUUUGUUAUGAUUCGCAGAGAUCGUAUUGGUUUUCGUUUUCCGUUUAGGGUUUUGUGUAUCGAGACGGCUAAUCAAUGUCCCUAACCGAUUCGUUGAAUUUCGGGUUUGAUCGAUUUCUGUGCACGCAUCUUCAUUCAUCGCUCCUCGUGUUCCUGAUCGGUUUGCAAUUUCACUUUAACGCCUGAAGCUUUCGUCAGCGAAUGAUAAAGAACAGUUUCCCCGCACGCAAAGUCAUCUCUCUCUCUCUCUCUACAUCCCCUGAGAGAAGAAUUUCACGUCAACAAAGCCGCGUCUUUGCUUCUUCCGAGAAAGAGCGGCUUCUGUCUCUUUUGCGCGUGUCCCGUUCUCUUCUCCAUUCCUUCCUCGUCUGAGAUGGCUCUCGAGUAUUGUAACCAGUCCAACUAUGGAGAUCAAAUUAUGGAAAGAUAAGCGCACGCGAGAGAGAGAGAGAGAGAAUGGUACGAGGAUUUUGCAGAGGAGCACCACGACGUUCAAAGACACGGGUCCCGAACAUCGAAAGGUUUUCAGACACGAACGAGAUCGGUUUGCCCGGUUGUUCCAGCCGCCAUGGAAGGCCGAGCUCUGCUUCUUCCAUUGGUGGGGAGUGUGGUCAGAGUAUCUUCAUCAUGGCGAUGAACUCGCUGAAAGUCGGACAUGGCGGCUGGCCGAUCAGGCGCGCCCGCGUUUUCUGUCCUCUUUCCCGAUCUCUCUGGACAAUCUUAGUGUCUUACCAGCAGAGCAGGGGAACUCCACCUCGAUCUCUCGAAUCGUUUGACGGCGGCUUUGCCUAAUGCUUGUACCUGAUUGACGUUGAUGAUGUCUGUUUAUUUA